ACGGGUGAGUAAUAUAUCGGAACGUGCCCAGUCGUGGGGGAUAACGUAGAGAAAUUUACGCUAAUACCGCAUACGAUCUAAGGAUGAAAGCGGGGGAUCGCAAGACCUCGCGCGAUUGGAGCGGCUGAUAUCAGAUUAGGUUGUUGGUGAGGUAAAAGCUCACCAAGCCGACGAUCUGUAGCUGGUUUGAGAGAACGACCAGCCACACUGGGACUGAGACACGGCCCAGACUCCUACGGGAGGCAGCAGUGGGGAAUUUUGGACAAUGGGCGAAAGCCUGAUCCAGCAAUGCCGCGUGCAGGAAGAAGGCCUUCGGGUUGUAAACUGCUUUUGUACGGAACGAAACGGCUCUUUCUAAUAAAGAGGGCUAAUGACGGUACCGUAAGAAUAAGCACCGGCUAACUACGUGCCAGCAGCCGCGGUAAUACGUAGGGUGCGAGCGUUAAUCGGAAUUACUGGGCGUAAAGCGUGCGCAGGCGGUUAUAUAAGACAGUUGUGAAAUCCCCGGGCUCAACCUGGGAAUUGCAUCUGUGACUGUAUAGCUAGAGUACGGUAGAGGGGGAUGGAAUUCCGCGUGUAGCAGUGAAAUG
rnacentral:rRNA from 1 species